rnacentral:rRNA from 1 species
UACGAAGGGGGCUAGCGUUGUUCGGAAUUACUGGGCGUAAAGCGCACGUAGGCGGAUAUUUAAGUCAGGGGUGAAAUCCCGGGGCUCAACCCCGGAACUGCCUUUGAUACUGGGUAUCUCGAGUCCGAGAGAGGUGAGUGGAAUUCCGAGUGUAGAGGUGAAAUUCGUAGAUAUUCGGAGGAACACCAGUGGCGAAGGCGGCUCACUGGCUCGGUACUGACGCUGAGGUGCGAAGGCGUGGGGAGCGAACGGGG